rnacentral:rRNA from 1 species
AUUUGACGUUACCUACAGAAGAAGCACCGGCUAACUCCGUGCCAGCAGCCGCGGUAAUACGGAGGGGUGCGAGCGUUAAUCGGAAUUACUGGGCGUAAAGCGCAUGCAGGCGGCCUGUUAAGUCAGAUGUGAAAGACCCGGGGCGUUAACCUCGGAAUUGCAUUUGAAACUAGGCAGGCUAGAGUCUUGUAGAGGGGGGUAGGAAUUUCAGGUGUAGCGGUGAAAUGCGUAGAGAUCUGAAGGAAUACCAGUGGCGAAGGCGGCCCCCUGGACAAAGACUGACGCUCAGAUGCGAAAGCGUGGGAGCAAACAGGAUUAGAUACCCUGGUAG